rnacentral:rRNA from 1 species
GUAGGGUGCGAGCGUUAAUCGGAAUUACUGGGCGUAAAGCGUGCGCAGGCGGUUCGUUGUGUCGGCGGUGAAAGCCCCGGGCUUAACCUGGGAAUGGCCGUUGAAACUGGCGAACUGGAGUGUGGCAGAGGGGGGUGGAAUUCCGCGUGUAGCAGUGAAAUGCGUAGAGAUGCGGAGGAACACCGAUGGCGAAGGCAGCCCCCUGGGCUAACACUGACGCUCAGGCACGAAAGCGUGGGGAGCAAACAGGAUUAGAUACCCUGGUAGUCCACGCCCUAAACCAUGUCAACUGGGUGUUCGGGAAGCGAUUUCUGAGUACCGUAGCUAACGCGUGAAGUUGACCGCCUGGGGAGUACGGCCGCAAGGUUA